rnacentral:rRNA from 1 species
UGAGGAAUAUUGCACAAUGGGGGAAACCCUGAUGCAGCGACGCCGCGUGAACGAAGAAGGUAUUCGUAUCGUAAAGUUCUGUCCUAUGGGAAGAUAAUGACAGUACCAUAGAAGAAAGCUCCGGCUAAAUACGUGCCAGCAGCCGCGGUAAUACGUAUGGAGCGAGCGUUGUCCGGAAUUAUUGGGCGUAAAGGGUACGCAGGCGGUUUAAUAAGUCGAAUGUUAAAGAUCGGGGCUCAACCCCGUAAAGCAUUGGAAACUGAUAAACUUGAGUAGUGGAGAGGAAAGUGGAAUUCCUAGUGUAGUGGUGAAAUAAGUAGGUAUUAGGAGGAAUACCAGUAGCGAAGGCGACUUUCUGGACACAAACUGACGCUGAGGUACGAAAGCGUGGGGAGCAAACAGG